GUGAGAAUUAGAUAUGGAUAACUAUAUCACUUAAGUGAGAAUGGGAUUCAGAUAGCUACUCAAUGGAGAAUGCACAACUAUAUCACUUACGCCACUAGUUUGCUUCAGUUUGUGCAGGCUUAGUGUGAGCCAACAUGGUUGAGAUUACAGAAGAGAUGUCAACGAGACCUCCUAUUCCAUCUCAACGUGAUCCUUCUAUAUUUGGAGAUGAGGAGAACGAGGAUGACGUCUUAGAGUCAGAGAGUGCCUCCUCUGUUGGCUUAAAGAAGAAAAACAAGUGAUAGUUACAAUGCGACAGAGAGUGACUAUUUCUAUUUUGUUUCUCAUCAUAUGCACGUUUGUGUUCACUUA